GUUUUGUCUGGCAGCUGUCAGCAUUGGCAAGCUAUUUCUCCUCACCUUAUUACAAGUGAUGUUAAAUAUUAAAUAAAUAUGUCAUGCGCCCAUUAUACUGAAAUUGAUACAUCGACAGGCCUACAAAAAUACAGAUUUGGCUUGUUCUUGGCAAUCAGGGCAGUAUAGAGAACCGGUCUAUGGAGUGAGGGUACCAAUUCCGAACAUGUUUGCUUGUUCUAAGUACUGUCUCACCUACACAAUAAAUGGGGGAUGGAAUUCUGGUCAGUAUUUUUCCACUGAGGUGUAAUUUUCUGUUAAAUUUGGAUUCUAUAAUAUUGCAUAACAUGAUAACCACCGUUAUAGCUGUGUACAUAUAAUCAGGGUCCCC